CUACGAAGGGGGCUAGCGUUGUUCGGAAUUACUGGGCGUAAAGCGCGCGUAGGCGGAUUGGUCAGUUAGGGGUGAAAUCCCAGGGCUUAACCCUGGAACUGCCUCUAAUACUGCCAGUCUUGAGUUCGGGAGAGGUGAGUGGAAUUCCUAGUGUAGAGGUGAAAUUCGUAGAUAUUAGGAAGAACACCAGUGGCGAAGGCGGCUCACUGGCCCGAUACUGACGCUGAGGCGCGAAAGCGUGGGGAGCAAACAGGAUUAGAAACCCCAGUAGUCC
rnacentral:rRNA from 1 species